GACGAACGCUGGCGGCGUGCUUAACACAUGCAAGUCGAACGGAAAGGCCCUGCUUUUGUGGGGUGCUCGAGUGGCGAACGGGUGAGUAACACGUGAGUAACCUGCCCUUGACUUUGGGAUAACUUCAGGAAACUGCGGCUAAUACCGGAUAGGAGCUCCUGCUGCAUGGUGGGGGUUGGAAAGUUUCGGCGGUUGGGGAUGGACUCGCGGCUUAUCAGCUUGUUGGUGGGGUAGUGGCUUACCAAGGCUUUGACGGGUAGCCGGCCUGAGAGGGUGACCGGCCACAUUGGGACUGAGAUACGGCCCAGACUCCUACGGGAGGCAGCAGUGGGGAAUAUUGCACAAUGGGCGGAAGCCUGAUGCAGCAACGCCGCGUGCGGGAUGACGGCCUUCGAGUUGUAAACCGAUUUCGCCUGUGACGAAGCGUGAGUGACGGUAAUGGGUAAAGAAGCACCGGCUAACUACGUG
rnacentral:rRNA from 1 species